AANUGACGGUACCNUAUGAAUAAGCACCGGCUAACUCCGUGCCAGCAGCCGCGGUAAUACGGAGGGUGCAAGCGUUGUCCGGAUUUAUUGGGUUUAAAGGGUGCGUAGGCGGGUAAUUAAGUCAGUGGUGAAAGCCCACAGCUCAACUGUGGANGCGCCAUUGAUACUGGUUAUCUUGAGUGUAGUUGAGGCAGGCGGAAUUUACGAUGUAGCGGUGAAAUGCAUAGAUAUCGUAAAGAACACCUAUAGCGAAGGCAGCUUGCUAANCUANNACUGACGCUGAGGCACGAAAGCAUGGGGAGCGAACAGGAUUAGAUACCCUGGUAGUCCAUGCCGUAAACGAUGAUUACUCGAUGUUGGCGAUAUU
rnacentral:rRNA from 1 species